GACGAACGCUGGCGGCGUGCCUAAUACAUGCAAGUCGAGCGCAGGAAACUGACGGAACUCUUCGGAGGGAAGGCAGUGGAAUGAGCGGCGGACGGGUGAGUAACACGUAAGGAACCUGCCUCAAGGAUUGGGAUAACUCCGAGAAAUCGGAGCUAAUACCGGAUAGUUCAACGGACCGCAUGGUCCGCUGAUGAAAGGCGCUUCGGCGUCACCUUGAGAUGGCCUUGCGGUGCAUUAGCUAGUUGGUGGGGUAACGGCCCACCAAGGCGACGAUGCAUAGCCGACCUGAGAGGGUGAUCGGCCACACUGGGACUGAGACACGGCCCAGACUCCUACGGGAGGCAGCAGUAGGGAAUCUUCCACAAUGGACGAAAGUCUGAUGGAGCAACGCCGCGUGAGUGAUGAAGGUUUUCGGAUCGUAAAACUCUGUUGUAAGGGAAGAACACGUACGAGAGGAAAUGCUCGUACCUUGACGGUACCUUACGAGAAAGCCACGGCUAACUACGUGCCAGCCGCCGCCGUAAAAC
rnacentral:rRNA from 1 species